CCUACGGGUGGCAGCAGUGGGGAAUAUUGCACAAUGGGGGAAACCCUGAUGCAGCGACGCCGCGUGGGUGAAGGAGUAUGUCGGUAUGUAAAGCCCUAUCAGCAGGUAAGAUAAUGACGGUACCUGACUAAGAAGCCCCGGCUAACUACGUGCCAGCAGACGCGGUAAUACGUAGGGGGCAAGCGUUAUCCGGAUUUACGGGUUGUAAAGGGAGCGUAUACGGCCGCGAAAGCCUGGAGUGAAAGGAUGGGGUCCAACCCCAUGACUGCUCUUGGAACUGUGCGGCUAGAGUGCAGGAGGGGUAAGCGGAAGUCCUAGUGUAGCGGUGAAAUGCUUAGAUAUUAGGAGGAACACCAGUGGCGAAGGCGGCUUACUGGACGGUAACUGACGUUGAGGCUCGAAAGCGUGGGGAGCAAACAGGAUUAGAUACCCUUGUAGUC
rnacentral:rRNA from 1 species